AGCAGCCGCGGUAAUUCCAGCUCCAAUAGCGUAUAUUAAAGUUGUUGCAGUUAAAAAGCUCGUAGUUGAAUUUCGGGAUUUGUCGGUUGGUCGGGCUUCACUGUCCGCACUGGCCUGACGGAUUCCUACCUUCUGAAUAACCAGCAUGCUAUUAAGUUAGUGCGUUGGGGAAGCAGAGCUAUUACCUUGAAAAAAUUAGAGUGCUUAAAGCAGGCUUGUGCUUGAAUAGAUUAGCAUGGAAUAAUAAAAUAGGACGGCAUGGUUCUAUUUUGUUGGUUUCUAGAAUCACCGUAAUGAUUAAUAGGGAUAGUUGGGGGCAUUAGUAUUCAAUUGUCAGAGGUGAAAUUCUUGGAUUUAUUGAAGACUAACUUCUGCGAAAGCAUUUGCCAAGGAUGUUUUCAUUAAUCAAGAACGAAAGUUAGGGGAUCGAAGACGAUCAGAUACCGUCGUAGUCUUAACCAUAAACUAUGCCGACUAGGGAUCGGACGAUGUUAAUUUUUUAAUGACUCG
rnacentral:rRNA from 1 species